rnacentral:rRNA from 1 species
GUCGAGCGGCGGACGGGUGAGUAAUGCCUGGGAAAUUGCCCUGAUGUGGGGGAUAACCAUUGGAAACGAUGGCUAAUACCGCAUAAUAGCUUCGGCUCAAAGAGGGGGACCUUCGGGCCUCUCGCGUCAGGAUAUGCCCAGGUGGGAUUAGCUAGUUGGUGAGGUAAUGGCUCACCAAGGCGACGAUCCCUAGCUGGUCUGAGAGGAUGAUCAGCCACACUGGAACUGAGACACGGUCCAGACUCCUACGGGAGGCAGCAGUGGGGAAUAUUGCACAAUGGGCGCAAGCCUGAUGCAGCCAUGCCGCGUGUAUGAAGAAGGCCUUCGGGUUGUAAAGUACUUUCAGCAGUGAGGAAGGUGGUAGUGUUAAUAGCACUAUCAUUUGACGUUAGCUGCAGAAGAAGCACCGGCUAACUCCGUGCCAGCAGCCGCGGUAAUACGGAGGGUGCGAGCGUUAAUCGGAAUUACUGGGCGUAAAGCGCAUGCAGGUGGUUUGUUAAGUCAGAUGUGAAAGCCCGGGGCUCAACCUCGGAAUUGCAUUUGAAACUGGCAGACUAGAGUACUGUAGAGGGGGGUAGAAUUUCAGGUGUAGCGGUGAAAUGCGUAGAGAUCUGAAGGAAUACCGGUGGCGAAGGCGGCCCCCUGGACAGAUACUGACACUCAGAUGCGAAAGCGUGGGGAGCAAACAGGAUUAGAUACCCUGGUAGUCCACGCCGUAAACGAUGUCUACUUGGAGGUUGUGGCCUUGAGCCGUGGCUUUCGGAGCUAACGCGUUAAGUAGACCGCCUGGGGAGUACGGUCGCAAGAUUAAAACUCAAAUGAAUUGACGGGGGCCCGCACAAGCGGUGGAGCAUGUGGUUUAAUUCGAUGCAACGCGAAGAACCUUACCUACUCUUGACAUCCUCAGAAGAGACUGGAGACAGUCUUGUGCCUUCGGGAACUGAGAGACAGGUGCUGCAUGGCUGUCGUCAGCUCGUGUUGUGAAAUGUUGGGUUAAGUCCCGCAACGAGCGCAACCCUUAUCCUUGUUUGCCAGCGAGUAAUGUCGGGAACUCCAGGGAGACUGCCGGUGAUAAACCGGAGGAAGGUGGGGACGACGUCAAGUCAUCAUGGCCCUUACGAGUAGGGCUACACACGUGCUACAAUGGCGCAUACAGAGGGCGGCCAACUUGCGAAAGUGAGCGAAUCCCAAAAAGUGCGUCGUAGUCCGGAUUGGAGUCUGCAACUCGACUCCAUGAAGUCGGAAUCGCUAGUAAUCGUAGAUCAGAAUGCUACGGUGAAUACGUUCCCGGGCCUUGUACACACCGCCCGUCACACCAUGGGAGUGGGCUGCAAAAGAAGUGGGUAGUUUAACCUUCGGG